CCUACGGGUGGCAGCAGUGGGGAAUAUUGGGCAAUGGGCGCAAGCCUGACCCAGCAACGCCGCGUGAAGGAAGAAGGCUUUCGGGUUGUAAACUUCUUUUGACAGGGAAGAGUAGAAGACGGUACCUGUCGAAUAAGCCACGGCUAACUACGUGCCAGCAGCCGCGGUAAUACGUAGGUGGCAAGCGUUGUCCGGAUUUACUGGGUGUAAAGGGCGUGUAGCCGGGCUGACAAGUCAGAUGUGAAAUCCUGUGGCUCAACCACAGAACUGCAUUUGAAACUGUUGGUCUUGAGUAUGGGUGAGGCAGGCGGAAUGCGUGGUGUAGCGGUGAAAUGCGUAGAUAUCAGGAGGAACACCAGUGGCGAAGGCGGGCUGCUAGACGAUAACUGACGGUGAGGCGCGAAAGCGUGGGGAUCAAACAGGAUUAGAUACCCGGGUAGUC
rnacentral:rRNA from 1 species